UUUGCGCUGGGAGCCACGAUAAUAGGAACAAGUCCAUGUGAGUGAACUUCAUCCAGCAGCUGAUAGCUGACCUCCAAUAAGCACAACUGCUCAUCCUUUCUGACAGAUGGUAAAUUGAAAGUAGAAUUGUGCGUAUGAAGGAGGAUGAAAAAGUGCUUCAAGGGAAUAUACACAAGCUGAGUGUGUGGACAAAACACAAAUGCAAUAUAAUGUCAAAAAAUGUGAAGAUAUCCAAGUUGGUGACAAAAUAAAAGUGAUGUUCUUACUUAAACAGCAAGUGGACAGACAUCACUGAAGUCAACAUGCAGAAAGAAAGAAAGAAAAAAAGAAAGAAAUAAUCGAAUCUAAAGAAUCAAAAAAAGACUUAGGAAUAAAAACAGGCAUUUACAGGAAAGAAAAGAAAUAAGAAAAAUUAUGACUUCCAGGGCGCCUCGAGGCGACUCGUGUGGCAGCAGAACUCUCAAUGGAUCCUGACAAUUGAAUUUAUGAAAAAAUGUUACAUAAGCAAAGGUGACAAAUACCCAAUGUGGAAGUGAAGACAAAUUGUGCAUAUAAAAAAUAAAUAAUAUUGAGAACAUGAA